rnacentral:rRNA from 1 species
GAUGAACGCUGGCGGUAUGCUUAACACAUGCAAGUCGAACGGACUCUUCGGAGUUAGUGGCGGACGGGUGAGUAACGCGUGAGAAUCUGGCUUUGGGUUCGGGACAACCACUGGAAACGGUGGCUAAUACCGGAUGUGCCGAGAGGUAAAAGAGAAAUUGCCUGAAGAUGAGCUCGCGUCUGAUUAGCUAGUUGGUGAGGUAAAGGCUCACCAAGGCAGCGAUCAGUAGCUGGUCUGAGAGGAUGACCAGCCACACUGGGACUGAGACACGGCCCAGACUCCUACGGGAGGCAGCAGUGAGGAAUUUUCCGCAAUGGGCGAAAGACUGACGGAGCAAUACCGCGUGAGGGAAGAAGGCUCUUGGGUUGUAAACCUCUUUUCUUAGGGAAGAACAAAAUGACGGUACCUAAGGAAUCAGCAUCGGCUAACUCCGUG